rnacentral:rRNA from 1 species
UACAGAGGUCCCAAGCGUUGUUCGGAUUCACUGGGCGUAAAGGGUGCGUAGGCGGUCGGGUAAGUCUGAUGUGAAAUCUCACAGCUUAACUGUGAAACUGCAUUGGAUACUAUCCGGCUCGAGGAAUGGAGGGGAGACUGGAAUGCUUGGUGUAGCAGUGAAAUGCGUAGAUAUCAAGUGGAACACCAGUGGCGAAGGCGAGUCUCUGGACAUUUCCUGACGCUGAGGCACGAAAGCCAGGGAGCAAACGGG